GAUGAACGCUGGCGGCGUGCCUAAUACAUGCAAGUCGAGCGAACGGACGAGAAGCUUGCUUCUCUGAUGUUAGCGGCGGACGAGUGAGUAACACGUGGAUAACCUACCUAUAAGACUGGGAUAACUUCGGGAAACCGGAGCUAAUACCGGAUAAUAUUUUGAACCGCAUGGUUCAAAAGUGAAAGACGGUCUUGCUGUCACUUAUAGAUGGAUCCGCGCUGCAUUAGCUAGUUGGUAAGGUAACGGCUUACCAAGGCAACGAUGCAUAGCCGACCUGAGAGGGUGAUCGGCCACACUGGAACUGAGACACGGUCCAGACUCCUACGGGAGGCAGCAGUAGGGAAUCUUCCGCAAUGGGCGAAAGCCUGACGGAGCAACGCCGCGUGAGUGAUGAAGGUCUUCGGAUCGUAAAACUCUGUUAUUAGGGAAGAACAUAUGUGUAAGUAACUGUGCACAUCUUGACGGUACCUAAUCAGAAAGCCACGGCUAACUACGUG
rnacentral:rRNA from 1 species